AAUUUAAAUAGUUUAUUAAAAAUAUAGAUUUGUGGUUUCUAAGAUGUUAUUAACUUUAAAUUU
rnacentral:tRNA from 1 species